rnacentral:tRNA from 1 species
GGUCCCGUGGCCCAAUGGACAAGGCGUCUGACUACGGAUCAGGAGAUUCCAGGUUCGAUCCCUGGCGGGAUCA